rnacentral:rRNA from 1 species
GACAGAGGGUGCAAACGUUGUUCGGAAUUACUGGGCGUAAAGCGCGUGUAGGCGGUCGUACAAGUCGGGUGUGAAAGCCCAGGGCUCAACCCUGGAAGUGCAUUCGAUACUGUAUGGCUAGAGUCCCGGAGAGGAUGGUGGAACUCUCGGUGUAGAGGUGAAAUUCGUAGAUAUCGAGAAGAACACCGGUGGCGAAGGCGGCCGACUGGGCCGUCCCUGACGCUGAGGCGCGAAAGCGUGGGGAGCGAACCGG